AUACGGAGGAUGCAAGCGUUAUCCGGAUUUAUUGGGUUUAAAGGGUGCGUAGGCGGUUUGCUAAGCGGGAGGUGAAAUGCCGGCGCUCAACGUCGGAAGUGCCUCCCGCACUGGUGGACUGGAAUGACUCUGCCGUGGGAGGAAUGUGUAGUGUAGCGGGGAAAUGCUUAGAGAUUACACAGAACACCGAUUGCGAAGGCAUCUCACGAAGGGUUGAUUGACGCUGAGGCACGAAAGCGUGGGGAUCAAACAGGAUUAGAUACCCUGGUAGUCCACGCAGUAAACGAUGAUGGCUAACCGCUGGUUUUUUCGGAUCAGUGGCCAAGCGAAAGCGAUAAGCCAUCCACCUGGGGAGUACGACCGCAAGGUUGAAACUCAAAGGAAUUGACGGGG
rnacentral:rRNA from 1 species